CUUAAUCCAAUGUACAAUGUGUUUGACUGGGAGAUCCCUUAAACACUCCCACACUCUCCUUACUGUGAGGCCCCUCGGAGCUGGAGACUCAGGACGAGUGCUGGUGUUUAUGUGGAGUUGCCUCACUGGGAAAAGCUGGUGUGUGUCAGAAGGAAGACAGACGGCGUUGAUGGUGCAUUCCCACGAAGAGCAAAAAUUACUGUGAGACGAGGACCUUCAGUCAUGAGGGAUAACCCCCUGGAACAUGUCCACAUCUACCGUUUGACACCCCUGCACAACCUGAAGCUCCAUUGUACCAUUGAAGGAAAAAGGAACCCAGAUCAUGGUGAAGCACUCUCCACUAUACCAUGUAGAAAACAUCUCAGGUGAGAUCACAACAGUCAAUGUGACAUUUUUUGUCAUCAGAUAUUAGAACUUUCUUAAACCUUUCGAAGGUCCCAUGUUUGGUGCAAAUUCCAAACAGGAAUUUUGUGGCAUUGAAAAAGACGAGCCUUUUUAAGAUGUUUAAUUGUUCUUACAACCCUUCUGAUGGUGAUUAGACUCCACUAAGAACCAGAAACAACCUUCAUUUGGGCAAGAGCUCCUCCAGCUCAGGGUGGGUGACAUUUUUGGGGUCUAUAUUCUAUAACCCUCAGGAUCUUUAAAAAAAAAAAAAAAACUUAAAAUGUCUUACUGCAUCAUAUAGCUCAACAUUCUGACAGCGUUCAAAGAGAGAACGCUUUUUUCCUAUAGUAGCUCUCCUUAACGUCCACUAGUGCAAAAUGGAAAUUCUUGCAAUUUUUCAACUGAUUAUAAAAAUGAAUAGCAGUGUAUAUCUAAAGGACAUAGCUUUUUCUUCUAUUUACAAUGGCCACAGGCCUUAAAAAAAAAGCACCAUGAGCUACAGGUGGAAUAGUGCAGCCUAGUGGAGAGCUUUUGUUCUACAACUAUUAUACAAAAAAAUGCUGUUGAGUUUGACAUACUUAAUAUAUAAAGCCAUGUAUACACUAUGCGACAUGCUGUGCCAUUCCAAUCUUUAUUCAGCAUUCUAUUGACAAAAUGUGCCUUCAGAUAUCAUGCAACAAGGCCACAAAUUUCCAUCGCCAGUGGUUCAAAAAAUUGAUACAAAUUACAACCCAAUGACGUGUAGUCACAUCAUGAACAAAGUUAGAAGUCUGGAAUGCAGGAAGUGGCAAACAGAAGUGUGAAGAAGUGAAAAGACAAGUGCCCAGUAAGAGCUUUAUUAAAACACCACUUUUUGACCAUGGGAAUGCCACAAAAGCAAGUUAAAACAAACUGAAGCACCAGGAAAAGAAUAACCAAAAAACAAAAGAGCUUCUUUGAAGCCACUUUUAAAAAAAUACCCCAGGUGAGUAAAUGCAAGCUGGAACCAUACAAACUUCUACAGGUGUUCUACACUAAAGACAAUGAAAUCACGCGAUGCAGACGUCGUCCUGAGAUGGCACAACUUCUAGGACACCCCCGUUAUACGGUCUUCUGCUGGCCCUUCUUUCCAAUCAGAGAUUUGUGGAUGUGCGGAAUCACACCUGCAAAGCCACAAAGUCGGUGAAGAUGAUGCAGAAAUUUCAUCUUCAAAAGAUGACAUAAAAAAAUGUUGGUGCCGAGCAGCUUACCUCCACCGGCAAUGGUGGCCUUGAUGAGUGAAUCCAGCUCCUCGUCUCCUCUAAUAGCCAGCUGCAAGUGGCGAGGAGUGAUACGCUUCACUUUAAGAUCUUUGGAAGCAUUUCCUGCCAGCUCCAGCACCUAAAAACCACACAUUACUUAUAAACAGAACAAGACUAGAGGUAAAAUUCAAGUCAUAGACAUUUAUUUACCUCAGCAGUGAGGUACUCAAGAAUGGCGGCACUAUACACAGCUGCAGUGGCUCCAACUCUGCCGUGGCUGGUGGUUCUGGACUUGAGGUGUCUGUGGAUACGACCCACUGGGAACUACGAGAACAAAAGAUUGUUUACGGCCUUCGGUAUAGGAUAAAAUUGUGUUUGUUAGCUUGGCUGAGCCACUCUGAAUGAAUAAGCAUGAAGAGGAAGCAGACAACCAACCUGCAGCCCAGCUCGCUGCGAGCGCGAAAUAGCCUUCGUCUUGGUCUUUCCGGAGUCUUUGCCCGCCUUGCCACCAGCCUAAACAACAAACAGCCAUUCAUUCGUCGAAACUAAUUAAAUAACGCUAGACCAUUUUUUAAAAAUAAAAAUCAAUCACCAUUUUAAGUUACAGACACAUUCUACAUUUAAAUCGUCUAAUUACAGAAUCAAAGCAAGCGAGGGUUGAGCUAGCCAACAUGCUAAGCUAAGCUAACAACGAUCGCUUGCAACAGUAACAUCUGCGAUGCGUCGCAGCGGCCAAAGUAGAAAGCAACGGCCUUCACUCAAACGUAAAUACAGUCCGGUGACUCACCAACCUAUUAAGAUAAGCUUACCAUGUUUGAAUCUUCGAAUAGUUUCGGCCGCUGUAGCACAAAAAGCUGAAAGCUAACUGCAACACAUCGACUGAUGGUUUGAACUACAAUCCCCGCCUACAAUUGUCCUUGAUAAUAUACCCGAGAUACAUCCGGGACUCUGCCGGGAGACAACCAGCCAGUCAUGUUCCACUAUGUGGGUAUUUGGCUCGGCGAUCAACCAAUCAAAGACAAAAGAUUAGUUUUGCGGGAAAAUGGGACUCUUUUCCGCUCUACGCCAUCAUGGGUAAUGUAGUACCAACACGGAGGUCCUUUGUAUUGCCCCAACAAUAACAAACGGAACCGUUGCUGUCCGACGACGUCGUCAUAAACUGAAGUUAAUAUGUGCAAUAGCUUCCAUUUGUGGACGCGUACGGUAUACAGGCAGUAUUUGACAGAGAACAAUCAUAAUUCAUGGAUAAAAAGCUCAGUAAUAUUAAACACUGGAGUUGUACAUCUCGAAUCAAAUAUUUUACAUUGAUAUCCACCCAUUUUUUCCACAGUCAAUUAACAACAUUGUGCAACUACUUCUUAUUUAACAUUUUACUUAAAACAACACAUUUUAAUUGAAUAAUUUUAUGUUUAAACACAUAUUUAGUUACUGUUUUUGAUUUGUUGCUAUAAUAAAAUAAAAUUAUAAACAAUUGACAGUACUGCCUGGUAGCAAAUGUCUGUU